CACUUUUAAUUUUUUAAUUUAAAUUGAAUAUUAAACUGGAACAAUUUGUACAUAUUAGACGUCCAGAACAAUUUAAAAUAUUUUCCAAAGAUCACUUACAUCACAAUCAAAUAUUUCUGUCUACUUGAAGAAAAUAAUUUGGACAGUACCUGGUAUGCAAUGAUAACAUGCAGUUAAAUGCAAUUUAACUAAGUUAACAACAAAGAGCGCAGUUAGUGUAUUAGUUAGUAUGGUCAGUGAUUUCUGGCAUACCAGCAUGCGCAUGGCAAUAGUAGGUCAGCGGCUGUGUUUGAGCAUGCGCAAACAACAGGCACGCAUUGUUCGGAAAUCCUUCUAGACUUGGGUGCUUAUUAUCAGAAAGUUCGUUUUUUGGGGUUUUUUAUUAUUAUCAUUUUUUUCACUGACCCAGUCAGUGUGACAGGUGCUUGGACCUGGUGUGGGGGCUCAUGACUGGGUUGCAGGAAACUGCAAGCCAUGAGAGUGGUAUGUUUGUCUGGGGGCUGGCUUUGGAAGUGGAAGCCCCUGGAUGACCAAGGCACCCAUUAUCCACAAGCGAUACAGUUGUUAACAGCAUGUAAUAAUUCCCCCUCCCUCCUAUACUUACAAAACCAGACAUCACAUUUCCCACGCUCACCAUUUCCAAGUGAGGGGAUAGAAAUUAUAUCUAGGUUCACCAACUGCACCUCCAAGUGAUUACCCAUUUUUAUACUCAAGAUUAUAUUCCUUAUCAUAUCCAUUUUGGGGGAAAUCCCCCCCCCCCCCCCAAAUUUAACGAUUUUCAGAUUUGGGGGGGGGGGAGAAUUUGGGAUUUUUUGGGGGGAAUCACCCCUUAUCCCCCCCCCCUGCAAAAUGCCCCCGAAGAUCAUUUUCAAAAGAUUCUGACUAAUGUUUCCUGGUCUACCCACCUUUGGAAGAAAUGGUUUGGGACUUGGGCAGAAUUUUUUUGCAAAAAUAUUGUCUAGUUUGACUUCUCCUCCCUAGCAAACUUUUACUAUUGGUGAUUAUCUCGAUUAGCACUGCUGUGAGCGGGUGCGCACAGGUCUUAGAUCCUUUUAGGUCGUAAAUAUUUUAAAUAUCCUAUAUAAACUUGUAUCUCCACAGUAAUUACUUCUGUUUAGAUUUCUCUGGUGACCAAAUAUCUCUGGUCGGCUUCACACCCCAGAUCUCAUCAGCAUACUGUCUGAUAGUGCGAUCACUUGAAAACUUGCCAGCGGCAGCCACGUUAAGGAUUGCUUUCUUGUACCAACUUGCUGGGUUCU